GGAGGGUGAAACGAAGAGAAGAAGGAGAAGUAAGGGGAUAGGAGGGAGAUUUCAGAGGAUUUGCCCGUGCUAUUUUAAGAGAAAGAGAACCGACUUAUAGUACACCGCGCCCCUUAACUUCCACGUCGUCGUCGUCGUCUUUUCGUUGUCUUCUUCCUCUUCGUCUUCGUAUUCGUAUUCGUAUUCGUUUUCAUUUUCGUUUUCUUUUUUGUCGUUCACAUCUUCGAAGAGUCAACGACGAACUAUCGCGAGAUACGUACUUCUUUUUUCUAUUCGAUUUUGAUUUCACGCGAAACCCAUAUCAUUCGAAAGCUUUCAUUCGUUAUUACGAAGUGUUCGUAUAUCGAGUAACAGAUAAUCCAACAAACGAUCGAAGUUUCUCCAAGUAUAUGUGUGUACAAAAAAAAAACAAAAAAAAAACAAAAACAAAAAGAUAAAAGAAAAAGAAAACUGUAUCAUGGAUGGAGAAGGUGGAAGAGAACCGAGUCGUUAAAUUUCGAGUGUGGUGUGCAGCCGGUCUCAGAUAGCCUCUCAUAAUGGCAUUGCACAGACGAUGAGUAAUUGGUUUCGAAUGGAUUAAAAUGAAGCUGAAGUCCUGCACAAGACGUAUUACGUUCUUUGCACCUUCCACAACGGCUGCUUCGAUUCUUAGCCGAUGUCGCAGCUCUUCGACGCGUUCCUCCAAAGCAAGUUCCAAGCUUGGCUCGUACCUAUCUACAAAAAUAAUUGCAAAAUAAUCAUUGAGUUUACACUGACAUAUAAAUCAUAAUAUAUAAUUCUUUUACGAUCAAAUAACAUUAUAAUAAUAUAAUAAAAAAAUAUUAUAUAAUAUGUGUAUAUAUAGAAAAAAAUAUAUAUAUAUAUUUUUUAUUUAUUUAUUCAAUGUUAAAAAUAUUGAUCUUGUUGCAAUUGAACUCAGCUAUAAUAUAAAUAAAUUAUAAUUUAUUAUU